AAAUAUUCGGUAGAUAUCCACAGUGAUAGACUCUUCCCCCAUAAACAAACAUUAUGGUCCAACUUCAGUGAUUAAACUCAGCAAACGUCAGUUUCCCAAUCUUAUUUUGUAAUCUUCUAAUGUUUCAUGAAGACACCAGGAUUAAGAGCCUCCAAGAAUUUUUAUAUCACUUGGACAAUAGAUACCACAGAAAUGUUCUGCCUACAAAGCACAUACGAAUUCCCAGCAGCAUUGUGUGCGGCGCACAUUAUUUAACACCGCGUGUAAACCCCCCGGCAGGCGCAUCUAGGCGCAGCGCGCUGCUUUGCAUUUGCAAUUAUUACCCAACCUUUGCAUCCCUUGCGCUGAUACCGGCCCCAUUCCCAGCUGCGGAGCCACAUCUGGCCGACUGACGAUGCCAACAAGUUGGGGCGAGGCAGGGCCGGGCAGGACAGGGUAGGAUGCGGGCGGGAUGCUGGACCAGCCGCGGCGGGCGCGGAGCGGGCGCNCCCGGCGCUCUCCCUCACCCGGUCCCAGCCUGCGCUAGGGGACGUUCUGCUCGGGCGUUCUCCGCAGGAAGAGCUGUUAGACAUUGGAACGGGCUGCCCAGGGCAGUGCUGGAGUCACCGUCCCUGGAGGUGUUUAAGGAAAGACCACCGAGUGCUGGUGUGGUUGUCACAGUGGUGUCCGCUCAUAGACUGGACUCGAUGAUCUCGGAGUCUCUUGAUUCUGCGAUUCUGAGCACUGACCUGCGCCCAGAUUGUUUGUCUGUCCAGAAAUCUCCUCCCUGUUUACAGAGAUGUUCCUCAAACCAUGUCAAGGUCAGUGCUUGAUAUUUUGACGAUGUCACUCAGAGCAUGGAAGGAUUUUUCCCCAUGCAUCAGGUCCCCAGUAGUUCUUGUAGAAUGUAAGAGAACUGUUUGUUAAGGAAGUUGUUCCAGACAAGGUGUUAGGAUAAAUGGCCACAUUUGUGUUGUAGUAACGCUUCAUGGAAUGCCUUUCUAUUUUCCUGUCAUUUUUGUCCUUUGAAAAAGUGACUUCUUAAGAAAAAAUAAAAAUAAAGCAUUUCAGAAAGCUCA
rnacentral:lncRNA from 1 species